UUGAACGCUGGCGGCAUGCUUUACACAUGCAAGUCGAACGGUAACAGCACUUCGGUGGCUGACGAGUGGCGAACGGGUGAGUAAUACAUCGGAACGUGCCUAGUAGUUGGGGAUAACUACUCGAAAGAGUAGCUAAUACCGCAUGAGAUCUAAGGAUGAAAGCAGGGGACCUUCGGGCCUUGCGCUACUAGAGCGGCUGAUGGCAGAUUAGGUAGUUGGUGGGAUAAAAGCUUACCAAGCCGACGAUCUGUAGCUGGUCUGAGAGGACGACCAGCCACACUGGGACUGAGACACGGCCCAGACUCCUACGGGAGGCAGCAGUGGGGAAUUUUGGACAAUGGGCGCAAGCCUGAUCCAGCAAUGCCGCGUGCAGGAUGAAGGCCUUCGGGUUGUAAACUGCUUUUGUACGGAACGAAAAGCCCUCUUCUAAUACAGGAGGGUCAUGACGGUACCGUAAGAAUAAGCACCGGCUAACUACGUG
rnacentral:rRNA from 1 species